CCUACGGGAGGCAGCAGUAGGGAAUUUUCGGCAAUGGGCGGAAGCCUGACCGAGCAAUGCCGCGUGAACGAAGAAGGUCUUCGGAUUGUAAAGUUCUGUUAUUAGGAAAGAAAGGCAUAUCGAGGAAAUGCGAUAUGUUUGACGGUACCGAAUGAGGAAGCCCCGGCUAACUACGUGCCAGCAGCCGCGGUAAUACGUAGGGGGCAAGCGUUAUCCGGAAUUAUUGGGCGUAAAGCGUGCGUAGGCGGUUUAUUAAGUCAUUUGUAAAAGAUCUCAGCUCAACUGAGUAGGGCAGAUGAAACUGAUGGACUUGAGUACGGUAGAGGUAAGUGGAAUUCCAUGUGUAGCGGUGGAAUGCGUAGAUAUAUGGAGGAACACCAAUGGCGAAGGCAGCUUACUGGGCCGGAACUGACGCUGAGGCACGAAAGCGUGGGGAGCAA
rnacentral:rRNA from 1 species